UGUAGUCGGAGAAUUCUAUGACCUCAGUUGACUAAUUCCAGCCCCAACUGCCCCACCCCCUUCCCGGCCACCAUAUCACCACCAUGGAGCUACCUUGAAACCUGUUUGCUGAGUAUGACUGACUCUCCUCAUAAUUCACACAUUUCUUGAGGCCUACAAGAAAGACUGAGCCUCAUGUGAUCAGGUCAAUGGGCAAAUCAACACAGAAAACAGUCUGGAGGGAGAAACCUUUCCCGGAAGCCCUUGGGCCGACUUUGUCUCCCAUCCCAUUGGCUGAAAUGGAAUCCUAUGUCCAUGCUCUGACUGCAAAGGUGGCUUGUGAAAGGAACAUCUUACUUUUUCAGCCUCUGUUAUAACAGAGAGAUGGGUGUAGGGAUGGCCUGUGAGACCCAGUUGACCAAGGAGAUUCGAGGCCAGACUUGUGCUGAGACCACCAGGGAAAAGAAGUACUCUUCCCAUUGGAGUUGCUGGGCUGGCAGGAAGUGAGCCUGGAGCUGCUGCUGGGUUACCUUGACGACCUCAGGGGGAGAGUCUGAAUGUGAAGGUAACACAGGGAGAAGCAUAUAAGAGAGCUGGAGAGAGCCAUGACAAUAUGGUCUGAGCUCCUGGAUACGGCUGUGCCUGAAGCAAACCACUUUUGGACUUACCGGGUUCAUGAGCCAAUAAUUCCCCUUUUUGUGAAAGCCACUUUCAGUUGGGAUUUUCUCCCUGGAAAGCAUCCACACUGGUGGGGUGGGGGUGGGAGGUGGCGGUUAAGCGACUUGCCCAAGGCCAGAAAGCAGGUAAGUAGCAGAUGCAGGAUUUAAGAGCUUCUCAUCUGCUGUGCCCAGGCCAGUGUUCUGUAUUUGGGUCUUCACUGAUUUUCCCUCUUUAUGCUCCCCGAGCAGCCAUUUUCUCAUCGGCAAAAUGGGAUAACGCCAGGCUCGCAGGGCUGCUGGGAAAUAUAAAGUGAAAGAUGGCGACACGAUUACAUAGUGCUGUCUGUGGCUGGAGGCUGACACGCUGUGCAGCCAGUGUCCGGUGCGUGGGCCUUGGCUUUGUUCCUUGUUAGCUUUUCAGUCUCAGGGAUGUGUUUAGCCAUACAUCCAGUCAAGGUGCCUGACUGUGUUAGAUGCCCAACUGUCUGCGUGAUUUUCAGACAGAAGGGCCACUUCAUUUCCUGGCCAUGUGUCCUCAUUGGUGGACAAAGGGACCUGGGUGACCCUGAGAACCCUUGAGCUCUGAGUCUGUAACGUAAAAAGAAGCCCUCUAGUUCUGGAACCUUCCAAGGAUUCAUGUGCUCGUGUGGAAAUCACCUGUUGCUCAAGGAAGUCAGUAUUGAACCAAAUCAACUUGGUCUCUUUUCUUUAUGAUGUUUACAUUUAGUGGUGGAGACAGAUGAUAGACACAUAAAACAAAUAUAGAACAUAAUACCACAUGUUAGCAGAGUGAGAAAAUAUGUCUUCUAAUGCCUAGUAAACGCUAAGAGGGAAGAGGGAUAGAGUGAUGAGACAUCAUUUAUUAGAAGCCAUCAGA